UCCCAUAUAGUGUAGGGGUUAUCAUACUGCCCUCUCACGGCAGAGACUGGGGUUCGAUUCCCUGUGUGGGAG
rnacentral:tRNA from 1 species